ensembl:lncRNA
GACGGGCAAGCCUCAGCCUGAGAAGGCUUAGACCCUCCUGGAAGACUCUGCCUGGAAACGUUAGAGGAACCUGCUAUGCAUAAAGGUGAGAAAGAAUAAAGGUAUCACAAAAAUGAAGUCUUCACCUACAGCACCCGUUGGGCAGAAGAAAACUAAGUACUUGUAUUGAACCCAGCCUAACUUCUGAAGUGCACAAAGUAAUGAAGUAAACAAAGGCUACGUAUAGAUAAAAUUACACAUUGAAUGGUUUGAGGUGAGUAAUGGGGUCAUAAAAAUAUUUUCAAUGAGCUGCUUCCUGAAUUAAUAUAAAACUGUUAUACGACUAUACUGUUAAGUAAAACACUAAAAUUUAGCUACAGACUUCAGUUAAUGGUACUGUAAAAAUCAAGACCUAUAUUGCAUAUUUUUAGCAUAUCGCAUUAUUAGCAAUUCUUUCAAUUUCUAGCAUAGGUAUAAUUAUGUGCCUC